CCUACGGGUGGCAGCAGUGGGGAAUAUUGCACAAUGGGGGGAACCCUGAUGCAGCGACGCCGCGUGAGUGAAGAAGUAUUUCGGUAUGUAAAGCUCUAUCAGCAGGGAAGAAAAUGACGGUACCUGACUCAGAAGCCCCGGCUAACUACGUGCCAGCAGCCGCGGUAAUACGUAGGGGGCAAGCGUUAUCCGGAUAUACUGGGUGUAAAGGGAGCGCAGACGGCUGUGCAAGUCUGGAGUGAAAGGCGGGGGGCCCAACCCCCGGACUGCUCUGGAAACUGUAAAGCUGGAGUGCAGGAGAGGUAAGCGGAAUUCCUAGUGUAGCGGUGAAAUGCGUAGAUAUUAGGAGGAACACCAGUGGCGAAGGCGGCUUACUGGACUGCAACUGACGUUGAGGCUCGAAAGCGUGGGGAGCAAACAGGAUUAGAUACCCUUGUAGUC
rnacentral:rRNA from 1 species